rnacentral:sRNA from 1 species
UCCAGCAGCCGCGGUAAUACGUAGGCAGCGAGCGUCGUUCGGAGUUACUGGGCGUAAAGAGUGCGUAGGCUGUGGUCCAAGUCUGGUGUGAAAUCUCCCGGCUCAACCGGGAGGGUGCGCCGGAAACUGGGCUGCUGGAGUGCCGGAGAGGCAGGCGGAAUUCCCGGUGUAGCGGUGAAAUGCGAAGAUAUCGGGAGGAACACCCGUGGUGUAGACGGCCUGCUGGACGGCAACUGACGCUGAGGCACGAAAGCGUGGGGAGCAAACAGGAUUAGAUACCCUGGUAGUCCACGCCCUAAACGAUGCACCAGCAGCCGCGGUAAUACUUUUUCCGGGCCUU